AUGGGCUUUGACUGGCCUUGGCCCAUCAAUGUAGUGGUCACGAUCCCGCCGGCUCCAUUGGUCAGACAGACCAGCGCACGGACGCGCCGCAAGCCGCCAAGCCGGAGAGCGAAGCACAUGCUGGGUCUUCUCCGCCGCCGCGCCCCAUCCUCGCCGGCGGCGAGCCUCCAACUAUUCCAGUGCUGUUACCAUGGAAGCAGCGAGAGACUAUUGCCUUGCCGAGACCAGGAAGUUUCAUAUGGUCUCAAUUGGGCUAUUGCUGCGAGAGGUGUCGUCGUAAAAGACAAGGUCUUCUAUAACUUGGAGCCGUCAGAGCUUCAGAAAAGUGGUACUACUUAUGCAGAGCGUUUGUCUGGUACUCCACUUCAUGUUAAAGGAAAUGUCAUCGGUGGCUUCCCUGAUAUUUCAGGAGCUCAAUUUGCAAAGCUUCUGAAACAGGUGACCUUUCACCUUUCAUCCAUCUCAAGUCUUUAUGUCCAAGAUGGUGCCAUUGGUUCCUCUGCUGAAUGCGAUGCAAAGGUCCGUGUUAUUAGUGACAACCCCUCUGCCAUCAUGUCACUCUCCGGUAUUCUUCAGAAAAUACCAGACCGUGCGAUUUCCCACGACACAUGCCCUUUGACUAUAUAUGUUUCCAGUUCCAUCAGCACCAACGUCAGGAAUGCUCUGGGUUCAGGGACACGAUAUGCAAAUGGAGUUGCAGUGGCAGACAUAGAGCGCUCAUCACUUAUCCUAUGUGGUAAAGCAUUUGCUGAUUCCGCGAUGCUAAAAGAUGCUCUUUCCGCUUUGGCUGCCCCUGUACUGUCUGCAAGAGGAGGCCUCCCCGUCCCUGGCUGGCUUCUGUCUUCUUGCGCUUCUAUUGUACUGCUGUUUGCUCCAGUGGAGGUCAUCAAGUCCUGCUCCGAAAUUCAGGAUGUUCUUGUGUCCACUGAUAGCGGUGUAGUUAUCUCUUCUAAACAAUCCAGUGUGCUUUUCCCAACAAAGUCAAGAGCACCACAGUUGUUUACCAAACCAGCUACAGUGGUUGUUGUAUCAUCUGAUAGCACUGAUGCCCUACCAUCGGUAUCAAAGCUCACUCCAGGUCAGGCAGCUUACCAUUUCUUAGCAGGAUAUGAGGAUGGUAAAUUUGUCCCAGCUUACAACAGGGCCCCCUCUCCUUUUGACCAGCUUGCCCUCGCAAAUUCCUUAUUUCUGCAUUUGAAAAAAGACAAGACACCAACUUAUCUGAUCAAUGCCAAGAGUUCCGGAAAGCAAAUUGACGGCAAGGACUUGAUGAAACUAAUCGAGCUGGCGCAAUCUAACGACAUGCCAGACAGCAGCAAGCCUGAGGACACUAGAGUGGCUGAACUCAAGGGGAAGUACAGGGGCUUUAUAUCCGGCAAGUUUGGCAAAUAUUUACCCGAGGAGUUCUCAUUCUGA
rnacentral:rRNA from 1 species